rnacentral:rRNA from 1 species
GCUAUAAUUUACUAGAUUUUGACAAUCCUACAUGGAUAACUGCGGUAAUUCUGGAGCUAAUACAUGCACCAAAGCUCUGACCGUAAGGAACGAGCGCAUUUAUUAGAACAAAACCAAUCGGCUUCGGUCGUUUGUUUGUUGACUCUGAAUAACUCAGCUGAUCGCAUGGUCUUGAGCCGGCGACGUGUCUUUCAAGUAUCUGCCUUAUCAACUUUCGAUGGUAGUUUAUGUGCCUACCAUGGUUGUAACGGGUAACGGAGAAUCAGGGUUCGACUCCGUAGAGGGAGCCUGAGAAACGGCUACCACAUCCAAGGAAGGCAGCAGGCGCGCAAAUUACCCACUCUCAGUACGAGGAGGUAGUAACAACAACUAACGAGACCGUUCUCUUUGAGGCCGGUUAUCGGAAUGGGUACAAUUUAAACCCUUUAAC